AUUGAACGCUGGCGGCAGGCUUAACACAUGCAAGUCGAGCGGGGGAAGGUAGCUUGCUACCGGACCUAGCGGCGGACGGGUGAGUAAUGCUUAGGAAUCUGCCUAUUAGUGGGGGACAACAUCUCGAAAGGGAUGCUAAUACCGCAUACGUCCUACGGGAGAAAGCAGGGGAUCUUCGGACCUUGCGCUAAUAGAUGAGCCUAAGUCGGAUUAGCUAGUUGGUGGGGUAAAGGCCUACCAAGGCGACGAUCUGUAGCGGGUCUGAGAGGAUGAUCCGCCACACUGGGAAUGAGACACGGCCCAGACUCCUAAGGGAGGCAGCAGUGGGGAAUAUUGGACAAUGGGGGGAACCCUGAUCCAGCCAUGCCGCGUGUGUGAAGAAGGCCUUAUGGUUGUAAAGAACUUUAAGCGAGGAGGAGGCUACUUUAGUUAAUACCUAGAGAUAGUGGACGUUACUCGCAGAAUAAGCACCGGCUAACUCUGUG
rnacentral:rRNA from 1 species